rnacentral:rRNA from 1 species
AUGGCCAGCGCGGCGUUCACGCAUUUUGAUGGCUUGCUGGGCACUGCCGUGGACCGAGAACACACGCUUGAUCUCUCCCAACUCAUUAUACCCAGCGACCUCACAUGCCUCGACGAGCCCUUCAGCCAGGAGGAGAUAUGGGAGGCCGUCAAGCGCAUGCCGGCGCGGAAAGCGCCCGGGCCGGACGGCUUCACCACGGAAUUUCUGCGUGCUUGCUGGAGCAUCAUACGGCACGACAUUUGGAGCGUGUUCGAGCUGUUGUACAUGUUGCGUGGGCGCGGGUUUAGCAGGCUUAACCAAGCGCUGCUCACCCUGCUGCCCAAGCGCGCGGACGCUCAGCAGCUCGGAGACUACCGACCAAUCUGCUUGAUCCACAUAGUGGCCAAGAUCUUCGCGAAGGUCCUGUCACUGCGUCUCGCCCCCAAGCUCGACAGCCUCGUCAGCCGCAACCAGAACGCGUUCAUUGCCGGACGUACUCUUCACGACAACUUCACCCUUGUCCGGCAAUCCCUCAAGAUGCUGCACCAACUUGGCGCGCCCAGGAUCAUGCUCAAGCUCGACCUCACUCGUGCCUUUGACUCCAUAUCCUAUCCCUUCCUCUUUAAGGUGUUGCGCCAAUAUGGGUUUGGGGACCGAUUCAGAGAAUGGCUGGCCAUCCUGCUAUCCUCGGCAAGCACUCGGGUCAUGCUCAACGGAGACCCCGGCCCGCCGAUCUGGCACCGCCGCGGGCUGAGGCAAGGCGACUCCACCUCCCCACAGCUCUUCGUGUUGGCGGUGGACACUCUUGGAAGGCUGAUGCGCCACGCCCUACAGUCUGGCAUCCUCCAGCAGCUACACUCCCGUCGUGCCAUUCCGGUGAUCUCUCUCUACGCCGACGAUGUGAUGCUCUUCUGCCAUGCCACUCUUGAGGAGGUAUCCGCUGUCAAAGGCAUCCUGGAUGUGUUCGGCACGGCAUCGGGGCUACGGGUGAACUACGCCAAGAGCUCGGUCACGAUCAUACAUGGCGACGACUCCGCCGAGGGGCUGGUGGAGCUGCUUGGGUGCCCCGUCGCGACCUUGCCGGUCACCUACCUAGGCAUCCCGCUCACCACCCGCCGCCCCUCUGCGGCUCAGCUGCAGCCCCUCGUCGACGCGGUGGCGGGCCGGCUCCCCUCGUGGAAGGCUUGGCUGAUGAACAAAGCUGGACGACUUGCGCUUGUCAAGUUGGUACUCAACGCCAUACCUAUCCACCAACUCCUCGUGCUCGCUCCCCCAAAGAAAACCUUAAAGCAGCUCGAGAAGAUCCAGCGUGGGUUCCUAUGGGCCGGCCGUGUGAAUGCUCUCGGUGGUCACUGCCACGUGAAUUGGCGUCGGGUUUGCCGACCGCUUGAGUAUGGUGGGCUGGGCGUCCGGGACCUGGAGCGCACUGGACUCUCACUAUGGUUGCGCUGGCUAUGGCUAGCACGCACGGACACGGACAGAGCAUGGCAAGGGCUGGACCUGCAAUUCACUUCGGAGGAGCGCGCGCUCUUUUACGCCUCGACGACCAUGGCCCUCGGAGAUGGAAGGACCGCACUUUUCUGA